rnacentral:rRNA from 1 species
CGCGGCCUAUCAGCUUGUUGGUGGGGUAAUGGCCUACCAAGGCGACGACGGGUAGCCGGCCUGAGAGGGUGACCGGCCACACUGGGACUGAGACACGGCCCAGACUCCUACGGGAGGCAGCAGUGGGGAAUAUUGGACAAUGGGCGAAAGCCUGAUCCAGCAACGCCGCGUGAGGGAUGACGGCCUUCGGGUUGUAAACCUCUUUCAGUACCGACGAAGCGCAAGUGACGGUAGGUACAGAAGAAGCACCGGCCAACUACGUGCCAGCAGCCGCGGUAAUACGUAGGGUGCGAGCGUUGUCCGGAAUUAUUGGGCGUAAAGGGCUCGUAGGCGGUUUGUCGCGUCAGGAGUGAAAACUCGGGGCUUAACUCCGAGCCUGCUUCUGAUACGGGCAGACUAGAGGUAUGCAGGGGAGAACGGAAUUCCUGGUGUAGCGGUGAAAUGCGCAGAUAUCAGGAGGAACACCGGUGGCGAAGGCGGUUCUCUGGGCAUUACCUGACGCUGAGGAGCGAAAGUGUGGGGAGCGAACAGGAUUAGAUACCCUGGUAGUCCACACCGUAAACGUUGGGCGCUAGGUGUGGGACUCAUUCCACGAGUUCCGUGCCGCAGCUAACGCAUUAAGCGCCCCGCCUGGGGAGUACGG